rnacentral:rRNA from 1 species
UACGUAGGGGGCUAGCGUUGUCCGGAUUUAUUGGGCGUAAAGCGCGUGUAGGCGGCCAGGUAGGUCCGUUGUGAAAACUCGAGGCUCAACCUCGAGACGCCGGCGGAAACCAUCUGGCUAGAGUCCGGAAGAGGCGAGUGGAACUCCUGGUGUAGCGGUGGAAUGCGCAGAUAUCAGGAAGAACACCAACGGCGAAGGCAGCUCGCUGGGACGGAACUGACGCUGAGGCGCGAAAGCGUGGGGAGCGAACAGG